rnacentral:rRNA from 1 species
ACUUAAAGUUUGACCUCCCGAAACUGAGUGAGCUACUUCGAAACAGCUGUAAGAGCCAACCCGUCUCUGUUGCAAAAGAGUGGGACGAUUUCCAAGUAGAGGUGACAAGCCUACCGAGCUCAGAGAUAGCUGGUUGCUUAAGAAAAGAAUAUAAGUUCUGCCUUAAGUCCCUUCAAUAACCUAAAAUUUACCUAGGACUUAAGAGUUAUUCAAGUAAGGCACAGCUUACUUGAAACAGGAUACAACCUUAUACACAGGGUAAUUCCCUUUUAUAUGUAACAAGUGGGCCUAAGAGCAGCCACCUUUUAAAAAGCGUUAAAGCUUUGUCGCGCAUCUACCUAAUGUCGAACCCCUAUAACCCUUUAGUAAUAUUAAGCAACUCCAUAAACUUAUGGAAGUUAUUAUGCUAGAACUAGUAACAAGAAAUGGUAUUUCUCCAAAAUGUAAGCCUAAGCCGUAACUGACCACCUAUCGGCAAUUAACGUCUAUGAGUCAACUGUAACAACAACACAAGAAAACCUUACACUCCCCAACGUUAACCUUACACUAGAACAUUUAUGGAAAGAUUAAAAGGGAAAGAAGGAACUCGGCAAAUUUUAAACCCCGCCUGUUUACCAAAAACACCGGCUCUUGCUUAGGUAUAAGAGGUCCAGCCUGCCCAGUGAUACUAUUUAACGGCCGCGGUACUCUAACCGUGCGAAGGUAGCAUAAUAACUUGUUCUUUAAAUGAGGACUCGAAUCAACGGCAUCACGAGGGUUACACUGUCUCCUUUCCCCAAUCAGUGAAACUGAUCUCCCCGUGAAGAAGCGGGGAUAAACAUAUAAGACGAGAAGACCCUAUGGAGCUUUAAACCCAACAAUUACUUCUGUUCUAACAUACCUCUUUAUACAGCAGAAUUUUAAUUGUCUGGUUUUAGGUUGGGGUGACCGCGGAGUAUAAAAUAACCUCCACGACGAAUGGGUUAACCAACCCCCUUAUCUAAGAGUUACACCUCUAAGAAUUAGUAAUCUAACGUAAGCUGAUCCGACUGUCGAUCAACGAACCAAGUUACCCUAGGGAUAACAGCGCAAUCCACUUUAAGAGCUCCUAUCGACAAGUGGGUUUACGACCUCGAUGUUGGAUCAGGGUAUCCUAGUGGUGCAGCA